AAAGCGUGCGCAGGCGGUUUUGUAAGACUGUCGUGAAAUCCCCGGGCUCAACCUGGGAAUGGCGAUGGUGACUGCAAGGCCAGAGUUUGGCAGAGGGGGGUAGAAUUCCACGUGUAGCAGUGAAAUGCGUAGAUAUGUGGAGGAACACCGAUGGCGAAGGCAGCCCCCUGGGUCAAAACUGACGCUCAUGCACGAAAGCGUGGGGAGCAAACAGGAUUAGAUACCCUAGU
rnacentral:rRNA from 1 species